UGGGAGUCUCUCAAGCUCUGGACCAUCUCCCGGUUCUCCAAGAAGGCCGAGAGGGAGGCGCCCCACACGGAGUGGGCCUCGUAGAUCAUGUUGGUGAACUCGCGGUGCAUGGUGCGCCCCUUUCGGAGGCCCUGGGAAAAGGCCGUGAGAACCAGGCGUGGAAGCUGUCUUCGUUCAAACCCCGUAGGUGGUCUGGAGCCGGAACGAGUCUUCCUCGAGUGUCACUGCAUGGAGGUCCGUGAACUAAAUGAUGGUGGACUUUUGGCCUUCGCUGAUGGUACAUCACCGCCAUGGACCGGUGUUUCUUUUGGAUAAUCAUCUGAACUUCCUUCUCCUGUCUGUCACUCCGUUACCAUGCUCUUCCCGACUGA